GGGGCGGGGCUAAAUAUCUGCUAUCUGGUGUAAUCAAUAAGUAUGGAAGAAUUGGUUUUGAAUUCGCUAAAGCUGCAGAAAUGACUUCAUCUUUAAGUUUGGAACAGAAUCAGGUGGGCAAGUUACAGAAAAGCAGACGUGUGACGCAAGCUGAAUUCAAGGCGUUCUGGUUUACAGGUGCAAUCACUCACAAAUGCACUUUUGGGUGUCAAAAUUGCCCCAGCAGCAAAUAUGUAAGCAGUUCUGUUCCAGAGCUCCUCCAACCACCAGGGGGCAGCGAGGGGAACACAAGGUUAAAGAUCAUGUGGCAGGGCUGUUGCUGCACAAAUGCAAAGAUAUUCUUUGCAUUUAUACAUAUAAAUUAUGCAAUUUUGCUGAUUUUUGAAUCUUAAGUUGUCUAAACAAAUAAACAGGCCGCCAGGCAUGU